GUGCUCAAUUCAGCAGUGCAAAUGCUAAAAUUAGAAUGUUAAGAGAAGAUUAGCAUGGUCCCUGAGCAAGGAUGACACACACAUUUAGAAAGCGUCUUAUAUAUUU
ensembl:snRNA U6 U6 spliceosomal RNA